ACGACAUCAUGUGGUCGAUUUGGGGGUAUGGGUGAGCAUACUCCUCAUACUGUUUCAGGAGGUGAACCAGCAGCGAUGGUAG
rnacentral:precursor_RNA from 1 species